UGAUCGAGAGACACGAUUCUCAGUUCAGUGGGUCCGUGAGAACCCAGCUCGGACCGGUUCGUGAAGGAAUAGUUCUGAACGGUUUUGUGAAUCGAUUCAGUGAAAAGAUUCGAAUCAAAAUAACUAAACGCCGGCUGCUGCGUCUCCAGAUGCUUCACUCGCGCAGCAAGGUGUUUGGAACGUAAUUGAGAGACCUCUAUCACACUACAGCAUGGCGUCCGAUGAACCUAAAGCCAAGAGGAUUAAACUCGAUGAAAAAAAGCUCAGUCAAAAUGCCCUUUUUGGGAUGGGAAACCCCCUGCUUGACAUCACUGCUGUGGUGGACAAAGACUUUCUAGACAAGUAUGGACUCAAGACGAAUGACCAGAUAUUAGCGGAGGAGAAACACAAGGAAAUGUAAGUGUAUUUCACCAGAGCUAUAUUCUUUGUUUUAACA